rnacentral:rRNA from 1 species
GAUGAACGCUGGCGGCGUGCUUAACACAUGCAAGUCGAACGGGAUCCAAGUGGUGCUUGCACUUUUUGGUGAGAGUGGCGCACGGGGGAGUAACACGUGAGUAACCUGUCCUUUUCUUUGGGAUAAACAUUCGGAAGGGUGUGUAAUACCUUAUGUUCUGUCUGCCUCGCAUGGGGUGGGUGGGAAAGGCUUUGGCCGGAUUUGGGUGGGCUGGCGGUCUAGCAGCUUGUUGGGGGGGUGAUGGCUUACCAAGGCUUUGACGGGUAGCCGGCCUGAGAGGGCGGUCGGUCAGAUAGGGACUGCGAUCUCGUACAGACUGCUGCGGGAGGCAGCAGUGGGGGAUAUUGCAAAAUGGGCGCAAGCCUGAUGCAGCGAGGGCGGGUGGGGGAUGAAGGGUUUCGGGCUGUAAUCUUCUUUUGCUCUGAACAAGGUAUGCCAGUGGGUGUGUUGAGUGUAGGGGUUGAUGAGCGCCGGCUAACUACGUG